rnacentral:rRNA from 2 species
GUUGACCUCGGAUCAGGUAGGGAUACCCGCUGAACUUAAGCAUAUCAAUAAGCGCAGGA